GGCCAAAUGUCGUCCGAUUUCGAGCGGGACAAAAGGAAGGGAGAGGGAUGAGGGAUAGGGAACGGCGGAAAAAUUCCGGGACAAUGAUAGUAAAAGAGAGAGAGAGGGAGAAAAGAAAGAAAAAGGGUCGUAGCGUAAUCGAGGCCGUACGAACGAAGAAGAAAAAGAGGGGCCGUUGUCUGAGAUUCGUAAACCCGCGCCACGUGAAAUAAUUCCGGAAGCGAGGAGCGAGCGUGUUAAACUAUCCUUAACAAAGGCAGAUAUUUUCUCUCUUCCUCUCUUGCCUUUUUUCUGUAGCCGAGAGCAUAUCUUUUUUUCUUUU
rnacentral:misc_RNA from 1 species